GCCGGAGUGGCGGAAUUGGUAGACGCACGGGACUUAAAAUCCCGCGGUUGUUUCAACCGUAUCGGUUCGACUCCGAUCCCCGGCA
rnacentral:tRNA from 1 species